GGUGCCAGAAACAGCCAAUGGAUGACCUGCCAAGCUCCCCAGGACCUGGUCAUGUUCCCACCUGGAUGAUGGGAUUCAAAUCCAGCAGCCCCACCACCUAAAGCAAAGCCUCCAAUCCAAAAUCCUGGCCAGCUCAGACGAUGCUCUAGAGUGCUCUGGGCUUCCAGCAGAGGCACCACCCUGGCCCGACUGCCCCUCCUUCCCUGCUGGGUGAAACUUCAGAGACUGGACUGUGCCCUGGGGCAUGUCCCGCAUCCCUCAAGCUUCUGUCUAUCAUGUUGGUGGGGAGGGGACAGGUGUUGCCAACACCUUGGAUCUUCUCUUGGUUCACUCCUGAGUUGGUAUAGUUAAUAGUUUAUUAGCAUAGUUAGACUUAUCACGGUUAGUAUAGUUGUGAGGAAUAGAAUACUUGUAUAGCACUGUUAGCAUACUCAGUAUUGUUAGUACAGUUAGCAUUCUUGGUGACGGCUUAGUGGUACUUCGUAUAGUUACUGGUAUAGUUGGUACAGUUAGGUAAUUAGUAUAGCUUAGUGGUAGUUAGUAUAGUUAGGGAUUCAGGACCUCAUGUCCAUGUCUGUUAAAAAGGUGGCUCGUAUUGAAAUGUAUGCGUUCCUUCACACAGUCGUUGAAGGCCACGUUGUCAAUGAGAAGUUGGCCCGCCGUGUUCUGACCACAGGAGUGGUAGCCAUCAAGGCCAUUACUAAGACAAAUCAGAGCUUCGCCAGCAUCCAGGAACUGUUUUGAGAGGUUAACAGCAUGAGAAUCUUAAACCACCCGAAUGUUGUCAACCUCCUGGAAGUGAUUGACACUGAGGAGACUGUGUUUAUAGUAAUUGAGUUCCUCCGUGGGGCAGACUUGUUCACCUUCAAGGACGCCUAAGACAGAGGCGGAGGCCCAAGGCCAGUUCCGCCAGCUGGACUCGGCUCUGCAGAACUGCUAGCAGCGCGGUGUGGUGCCCGGGGACUUGAAGCUGGGCAACCUCCGCCUUGAUGCGAAGAACAACGUCAAGCUCUCCCCAACUUUGGCCUAACAACCAGUGGCACCCAGGAAAGCAGCUAGACACUUUCUGCGGGAGCCCCGCGUUCAUGGCCCCAGAAGGAUUCCUAGGGAUGCCUUAGGCAGGCCCAGCCGUGGAUGUGUGAAGCCUCGACGGCGUCCUGUACACCAUGGUAACUAGACGCCUCCUCUUUGGGGGACAAGAUUUCUGGGAGCUCCAGCAGCGUGUGCUUAGAGGGCAGUAACAUGUGCCCAAAUACAUAUCCAAUCAGAUAAUAGACUUACUCUGAAGAAUGCAAAUGCUCAACCUACCAACAGAGGUACUUUAGAUGAUGUUUGCCAGGAUCCAUGUGUGAACAUGGGCCAGGAAGAGCCACUGCCGCCAGCCUGUGAAGAGCACUCCCUCCCAGGUUACCUCCUGGGCAUCGGGCCUCUGCCUCCGUCGUGCGGCCUGUGGCCUCCAGGUGGUAGACAGGUCUCCCCAGUGGACAAAUGCCAUUACUAGAAAGUGUGAGAUGAUCCUGGGCUGGUGGAGGGACCAGAUCCAGGGCUUCGACGUACUCAGUGGUAGUGACAGCGUGCACGUGAAUGAACCCUGCAUGGUGGCCCGCGCCAUCGUUGUGAGGCCAGCUGUUUCCUCCGACCUCAGCAGCGAAGAACAUACACCUCCCGCCAAGCCCUGAGAUGCCCAUGCUUAAACCCGACUGAAUUUGGGAGACCAUCCAGCAGCAGGAGAACCAGGAGUCAGGGAGAAGGCCAGAGAGCCUGCCACACCCCAACCCUGCCCGGAAGCAAGGACCGUUACCCGCAGCCCAGCCCCCUCCACUCACAACACCCACGAUGCCAGCAGCGCCCUAGCCACAGAUCACGCCAGUGACCGCCACGACACGUUUGGGACUAGGCUCACCUGCGGCAGGCGUGACAGCAGCCACACCCGUGACACCAGCGUAACUCGUGACACGAGAGACACCCGUGACACCAUCAGCACCUGUGGCAGCUGCGAUACCACGGGUACCAGCCUCAUCUGUGAUGCCUGCACCAGCCGUGACACAAGCCACACCUGGUACACCAGCCCACCUAUGAAGUCCUAAGCACCCAGGAUGCCACUGGGGAAUGCAAUAUUGAUGACACCCUUGACACCCACUAUACCUGCAUCACCAGGGACACCAGCCUCGCACAUGACCCCAGAGGCACCCAUGACCCCAGAGGCACCCGUGGCCCCCUUGGUGACCGCACCAUCCAUGAUACUUCUGUCACUAACACCCGUGACACCAGGGGCACCCGCAACACUGAGGGCACUCACGGCACCUGUGACUCCUGCAACACCAAUGGCACCCAUGACUCCGGCGAUAAAGUUGCAGGAGAAACACACUGCCUCCCGCAUGUGCCUGGUGCGGCAAGCUCCACUUUUUG
ensembl:lncRNA